GUGGAAAGCCUUCCUUUAGAAAGUUGUCUUGAUGAGAAGAAAGCCAGUGAUGACAGAACCCAGACGUCCCUGAGCUGGCAGAAGAGCGAUAAUGUUGGUUGUGUUGACAGUUGACAGUCACAGACAAGGACAUGGUGCCUUUGAGGCGUUUGCUCUCAAGGGGUAAGAAGACUGGAUCCAUUUGCCAUAGUUAAGAUCUGCCAUCUGGGUUGAGCUUCCGAUGGUUACAGGAAACACAGCGCGGCUGAUAGAAUGUCCUAAGGAACAGCUGAGCACGCUCCCUGCUUGACAUGAGCACAGACCUCAUUAGCUAAUGCCUUUCACAUCUGGGCAGAAGCAACACAAAUGAAUUCACAGUGUGAUGUGGUUUAAACAGA
rnacentral:lncRNA from 1 species